UAGUGACAGGUCUCAAAGUGCAG
rnacentral:piRNA from 1 species